GACGAACGCUGGCGGCGUGCUUAACACAUGCAAGUCGAACGGAAAGGCCCUGCUUUUGUGGGGUGCUCGAGUGGCGAACGGGUGAGUAACACGUGAGUAACCUGCCCUUGACUUUGGGAUAACUUCAGGAAACUGGGGCUAAUACCGGAUAGGAGCUCCUGCUGCAUGGUGGGGGUUGGAAAGUUUCGGCGGUUGGGGAUGGACUCGCGGCUUAUCAGCUUGUUGGUGGGGUAGUGGCUUACCAAGGCUUUGACGGGUAGCCGGCCUGAGAGGGUGACCGGCCACAUUGGGACUGAGAUACGGCCCAGACUCCUCCGGGAGGCAGCAGUGGGGAAUAUUGCACAAUGGGCGGAAGCCUGAUGCAGCACCGCCGCGUGCGGGAUGACGGCCUUCGGGUUGUAAACCGCUUUCGCCUGUGACGAAGCGUGAGUGACGGUAAUGGGUAAAGAAGCACCGGCUAACUACGUG
rnacentral:rRNA from 1 species